AAUGUUUUGGGUCAAGUUUCUGAAAAAAUUCUUACCUUUCAUCUUUAAAAAAAACACUUAAAAAUGCAUUAUUUAGUCAGAGGGAAUGUCAUUUUUGAGAACUGGCUGUUUCAUUGUGGAACAGGAUUCGUUUGUACCAUAAAUAUCAGUGUGCUAUCAUUAGCAGGACUGCAGUCAAGAUGGGGCCAUGUCAUGACAGUAUGUGCUCCCACACUGCACACUGUGUACAGUACACUGUCUCUGCACCUAGAUCAAAUGUUGGAUUUCAUGUAUAAAGAUGGUCAUCUUAUGAUAAUUUAUGUCAAAACUAAAACUAAGUAAAAAGACUAUAAAGUUAUGAGGAUAACAGAGUAUUUACCAUCACAUGUAGGUAAAGGGUGGCUCCACCAGUGGUUCUUCUCACAUACUAGCGGUUCCUCGUGGCUGAGUCUGUAGCCAGAAUCACAACCAAAUGACACUGUGGACCCGAUGGAGAAAUCCUGCCCGUACCGAAUACCAUUAACGGGGAUGCCAGGGUCCAGGCAUGAGUAGCUGUCCACUGUAACGCCUAAAAAAAAAAAAAGGAUUAGAUGUCCAACUGUUACACAUGUGCAUAAACACUAGACUUUGAUCUGCAGUUUUGCUGAUCUGCAUAAUCUAACACUCACAGAUGGUGUGAAUCUCCACAUAAAGCGCCACGCUGUGCAUUCAUGGUGGUUUGUUUUUCGCAGCCAGCGUUUGAUCGGCUGUUAUCGGUGGUAAACAGCAGAUAGAGAAAGUUGCUGCUGCUGAACAGGAACUGGGGAACCUGGGUACCAUUAAAGGAGCCGACCAGAGGAGACAAGAGGUUUGGCCCAUCGUGGACCUCCAGAAAGUCAUAACCCAGCUCCGUCUGGAACCUGUGAGACAACAAUAUCAGAAUAUCACAAUGCUGGAGAUGGUCUCGGUUCCUUGGGUUUUGAUGAACCCGUCCUCGCACACCACGGAGAUGGAGCUGCCGAGCUGGAAGCUGUCUCCAAAGCGGCGAGCGUUGAUGGGAAUGCCAGGGUCUGGGCACUCAUUAUGUCCAAAUGCUAGGGUUCCAAACCAGGCCACAGAGGAGCUGUUGAGGAUUGAUUGGACAGGAGGAGUAUGAGAAAGACAUACAUUUUUCUGUUCUCAUUAAAAACACACAAUCUCUGUCA